GAUGAACGCUGGCGGCGUGCCUAAUACAUGCAAGUCGAGCGAACAGACGAGGAGCUUGCUCCUCUGACGUUAGCGGCGGACGGGUGAGUAACACAUGGAUAACCUACCUAUAAGACUGGGAUAACUUCGGGAAACCGGAGCUAAUACCGGAUAAUAUAUUGAACCGCAUGGUUCAAUAGUGAAAGACGGUUUUGCUGUCACUUAUAGAUGGAUCCGCGGCGCAUUAGCUAGUUGGUAAGGUAACGGCUUACCAAGGCAACGAUGCGUAGCCGACCUGAGAGGGUGAUCGGCCACACUGGAACUGAGACACGGUCCAGACUCCUACGGGAGGCAGCAGUAGGGAAUCUUCCGCAAUGGGCGAAAGCCUGACGGAGCAACGCCGCGUGAGUGAUGAAGGUCUUCGGAUCGUAAAACUCUGUUAUUAGGGAAGAACAAAUGUGUAAGUAACUAUGCACGUCUUGACGGUACCUAAUCAGAAAGCCACGGCUAACUACGUG
rnacentral:rRNA from 1 species